rnacentral:rRNA from 1 species
AACGAACGCUGGCGGCAGGCUUAACACAUGCAAGUCGAACGCCCCGCAAGGGGAGUGGCAGACGGGUGAGUAACGCGUGGGAAUCUACCCAGAUCUUCGGAAAAACACAGGGAAACUUGUGCUAAUACCGGAUACGCCCUACGGGGGAAAGAUUUAUCGGAUUUGGAUGAGCCCGCGUUGGAUUAGCUAGUUGGUGAGGUAAUGGCUCACCAAGGCUACGAUCCAUAGCUGGUCUGAGAGGAUGAUCAGCCACACUGGGACUGAGACACGGCCCAGACUCCUACGCGAGGCAGCAGUGGGUAAUAUUGGACAAUGGGCGAAAGCCUGAUCCAGCCAUGCUGCGUGAGUGAUGAAGGCCUUAGGGUUGUAAAGCUCUUUUAGUGGGGAAGAUAAUGACGGUACCCACAGAAAAAGCCCCGGCUAACUUCGUGCCAGCAGCCGCGGUAA